rnacentral:tRNA from 1 species
GCGGGCCUGUAGCUUAGCUAGGUAGAGCGAUCGGCUCUUAACCGAUAGGUCAAGGGUUCGAAAGGGCCUCGCGACACCCGCG